UACAGAGGUCUCAAGCGUUGUUCGGAUUCAUUGGGCGUAAAGCGCGCGCAGGCGGUGCGGGGCGUCGGUGCUGAAAUCGGGCCGCUUAACGGCCCGCGGCGUGCCGAUACGCCCGUACUGGAGGGUGGGCGAGGGUGGUGGAAUUGCCGGUGUAGUGGUGAAAUGCGUAGAGAUCGGCAGGAACACCCGUGGCGAAAGCGGCCACCUAGCCCAUACCUGACGCUGAUGCGCGACAGCGUGGGGAGCGAACUGG
rnacentral:rRNA from 1 species